GACCUAUCCAUGAUAUGUCCCCUAGUGUAAACUGCACAUGUACAGGGUUAUCAGAACACAAGUCCUUUCCUAUUCAAGACUCUGUUUUACAUUUGGUGUCCAUUUGUGUGUAUUUUAGGUGAUAAAGGAUGACCCUCUAACCGACUGUGUGGAUCACCAUGCCACAGAAAAGCUACCAGAAAGCAAACCGCAGCAGAAUCCUGGAAUGUUUAUGGGAAUGAUGCAAAAAGUCAACCCUUUCAAAUCUACAACACCGAUUCAGGACACCCAGUCCAUACACAGUGAUCUUUCCUCCAGUUCUGGCAGUCUGGCUGAGAGUAACAGUUCUGCAGGCAAACAGAACCCUGGGAUGUUCAAGGGAAUGAUGCAGAAAGUCAACCCAUUCAAAUCUACAGCACUGACCCAGGAGACUCAGCCGUCAUACAGCGAUUCAUCCUCCAGUUCUGACAGUCUGAGUGACACCAGCGUCUUCAGUCCUGCGGAGAAUCAGACCGUGUGGUACACAGACAGCGAAGCAACUUCUUCAGUGAAAAGUGGACCUCAACCACCACAAGAAAAUAAAAAAAAGACUGGGGCAUGUCGCUCUUUUAUUUAAUCAUACUAUUAUAUUAUACAAUCAAAUGUAUUUUAAAAUUAAGCAAUAAGGCCAGAGGGAUUGUGGUAUAUGGCCAAUAUACCUUGGCUAAGGGCCGUUCUUAUGCCCGACGCAAAAGGGAGUGCCUCGAUACAGGCUUUAGCCAUGGUAUAUUGGCCAUAUACCACAAACACCAGAGGUGCCUUAUUUCUAUUAUAAACUGGUCGCCAACAUAAUUAGAGCAGUAAAAAAUAAAUGUUUUGUCAUACCCGUGGUAUGCGGUCUGAUAUACCAUGGCUAUCAGCCAAUCAACAUUCAGGGCUUGAACCACCCAGUUAAUAAAGCCAUUUUUACAUCAGCACUUGUCACAAAGUACUACACUAUAACACUAUCAUCCUAUUUAAGUACAUCAUCUACAUAGGGGCCUCUUCAUAGGGCGUGUGUUCUUAUGUUUCUGUCUGUUUGUUUCUCUGGUAGACAUUCCAAAUCCGAAGGAUUCUCCCUGGUGCCCUGUUUGGCUAUGGAGCUAAGGAUUCUCCCUGGUGCCCUGUUCGGCUAUGGAGCAAAGGAUUCUCCCUGGUGCCCUGUUCGGCUAUGGAG
ensembl:lncRNA